GGAUGCGCGUGCACCCGUGUUCACCUUUGUAUUUUCGACUAUUCUUUUGCCUUUUACUAAAGAAUACCGUGUGCACGCCAUAAUAAGCAGCAUCUCAUAAUUUUUGAAGGGUGUCUUUUUUUUAUGAGAA
rfam:Triticum aestivum genome assembly, contig: Triticum_aestivum_CS42_TGACv1_scaffold_374268_5AL